rnacentral:misc_RNA from 1 species
AGCAUUCAGCUUCCUUUUCAGAGCCUCCUCUUCUUUCAUCUUAUCUUGGAAGGUUGAUGGCAGCAUGUUGGGAAACAAAGCCAGGAAUACCGGCAACAAGAGCUCCAUAAAUGGAACAAUAAUAAACACUGCAACAGGAACCAGCCUAAAAAUAUCAGCUGUUGUCCGUGUUAGUUGUUGCCUUUCCCUCCUGGAAAGACUCUUCCCCUUGGCUGUUUUCAACAAGAGCCUCGAACAUAUCCUAACAUCAGCCCAAAGCAGUUUGGUACCCAACCAAUAGUGUUGCAUUGUUGAUUUAAAUUCAUCCUUCCAGUGCCGGAUCUUCUUUGCCCAGUCUUCCCUGCUCAUUGAAGCAACGGCUCUCAAAGCAGGACCAAUCCCUAAUAACACUGCCCAAAUUUUCUUUACUACAGCUUUAAUACUGAUCUGCGAAUCUUGCAGCUGUUUGGAUUUUGCUUUGGCUUUGGCCAUGGUUAAAUCCUCAACUGCUUCAUCACAUUCUUCUGGUGAAGCUUCUUUCUUCUGUUUAACCGCUGGUUCUGCAUCCUUAUCAUUUCCUUUACCAAAAUCAGGUUGACCUGCUGCAGCUGUCGAAUAUUGUUGUUGGUGUAUUAUCCAUCUGGCCCCCAAAGUAGAAAGAGACCCGCAUCUUCCUACUCUCAAACCCAAGACUGGAAUUUCAGAUGAGUUGAGUAGGACAUGCUUUCCCCAAACUUUUAGUAACUCAUCUUUGGUAGACGGACUUGAACUUCCUUCAUUUCUGUUAUCUGCAUUCUGAGGUUGAUGAGUUACCAUAGAGCGCCAAUCCCAAGAAUUAGACGCCUUAGAUGAUCCCCAGUUCUCAUAGCUCAAAAAAAGCUCGAAUGAAGGUGUGAGGUUUCGGAGUAGAAUCAAAGAGGUUCCUCUUCCUUCUCAAUAUUGCUCUUGAAGCCAUUAGCAAAAACUUCUUCUACUUUGCAUAAAGCUCAUAUAACAUAUCCCAGAAAUUAUCUGCCUAAUGCCAGCCUGAAAUGAUGAUCGAUAAAUUCGUAUUUUCGAAUGAAAACCAAAUCCGCAGCGAUGAAGAAUUGAUUUUUCACAAAUUAACAAUAUAUUUUGCAAAAAUCAAAUCGUUUUUU